GCUAGGGUGGGUGGUUCUGGGAAGAUCUCUUUAAUAGGGUCUCCUUCUAGUAUGGGUUGCAACUGUUUGAGGGUUUUCUAUAUGGGUUCAAGGGAGGAGUGUUAUGUUAUAACCAGCAGUGUGCUAUUCAUGGUUUUUUUUCUUUUGUACUGAAGCAAUUCUUCACGUGGUAGCUGGGUGGCUCUUUCAAACAUGCGAUCUGUCUCUCUGGAGGAUUGGCCUUGUUGAAUGAAAGCCUUUUGAAGAUUAAU